GCUGGGCAUAGUGGCGUGUGCCUGUAGUCCCAGCUACUUGGGAGGCUGAGGCAGAAGAAUUGCUUGAACCCAGGAGGCAGAGAUUGCAGUGAGCCAAGAUUGCGCCACUGCACUCCAGCCUGGGCAACAGAGCGAGACUCCAUCUCAA
rnacentral:SRP_RNA from 1 species